rnacentral:rRNA from 1 species
AUUGAACGCUGGCGGCAUGCUUUACACAUGCAAGUCGAACGGUAACAGGCCGCAAGGUGCUGACGAGUGGCGAACGGGUGAGUAAUGCAUCGGAACGUGCCCAGUCGUGGGGGAUAACGCAGCGAAAGCUGCGCUAAUACCGCAUACGAUCUAUGGAUGAAAGCGGGGGACCGUAAGGCCUCGCGCGAUUGGAGCGGCCGAUGCCAGAUUAGGUAGUUGGUGGGGUAAAGGCUCACCAAGCAAACGAUCUGUAGCUGGUCUGAGAGGACGACCAGCCACACUGGGACUGCGACACGGCCCAGACUCCUACGGGAGGCAGCAGUGGGGAAUUUUGGACGAUGGGCGCAAGCCUGAUCCAGCAAUGCCGCGUGCAGGAAGAAGGCCUUCGGGUUGUAAACUGCUUUUGUACGGAACGAAACGGUCUUGGUUAAUACCCGGGGCUAAUGACGGUACCGUAAGAAUAAGCACCGGCUAACUACGUGCCAGCAGCCGCAGUAAAAC